GAUGAACGCUGGCGGCGUGCCUAAUACAUGCAAGUCGAGCGAACAGACGAGGAGCUUGCUCCUCUGACGUUAGCGGCGGACGGGUGAGUAACACGUGGAUAACCUACCUAUAAGACUGGGAUAACUUCGGGAAACCGGAGCUAAUACCGGAUAAUAUAUUGAACCGCAUGGUUCAAUAGUGAAAGACGGUUUUGCUGUCACUUAUAGAUGGAUCCGCGCCGCAUUAGCUAGUUGGUAAGGUAACGGCUUACCAAGGCAACGAUGCGUAGCCGACCUGAGAGGGUGAUCGGCCACACUGGAACUGAGACACGGUCCAGACUCCUACGGGAGGCAGCAGUAGGGAAUCGUCCGCAAUGGGCGAAAGCCUGACGGAGCAACGCCGCGUGAGUGAUGAAGGUCUUCGGAUCGUAAAACUCUGUUAUUAGGGAAGAACAAAUGUGUAAGUAAAUAUGCACGUCUUGACGGUACCUAAUCAGAAAGCCACGGCUAACUACGUG
rnacentral:rRNA from 1 species